rnacentral:rRNA from 1 species
CCUACGGGGUGCACCAGUGGGGAAUAUUGCACAAUGGGCGGAAGCCUGAUGCAGCGACGCCGCGUGGGGGAUGACGGUCUUCGGAUUGUAAACCCCUUUCAGUAGGGACGAAGCGCAAGUGACGGUACCUGCAGAAGAAGCACCGGCCAACUACGUGCCAGCAGCCGCGGUAAUACGUAGGGUGCGAGCGUUGUCCGGAAUUACUGGGCGUAAAGAGCUCGUAGGCGGUUUGUCACGUCGUCUGUGAAAUCCUCCAGCUUAACUGGGGGCGUGCAGGCGAUACGGGCAGACUUGAGUACUACAGGGGAGACUGGAAUUCCUGGUGUAGCGGUGAAAUGUGCAGAUAUCAGGAGGAACACCAGUGGCGAAGGCGGGUCUCUGGGUAGUAACUGACGCUGAGGAGCGAAAGCAUGGGUAGCGAACAGGAUUAGAUACCCGCGUAGUC